rnacentral:rRNA from 1 species
UACGUAGGGUGCGAGCGUUAAUCGGAAUUACUGGGCGUAAAGCGUGCGCAGGCGGUUAUGUAAGACAGGGGUGAAAUCCCAGGGCUUAACCUUGGAACUGCAUUCGUGACUGCAUAGCUAGAGUACGGUAGAGGGGGAUGGAAUUCCGCGUGUAGCAGUGAAAUGCGUAGAUAUGCGGAGGAACACCGAUGGCGAAGGCAAUCCCCUGGACCUGUACUGACGCUCAUGCACGAAAGCGUGGGGAGCAAACAGG